GACAGAGGGGGCAAGCGUUGCUCGGAAUUACUGGGCGUAAAGGGUGUGUAGGCGGUCUUCUAAGUUUGGUGUGAAAUCUCCCGGCUCAACUGGGAGGGUGCGCCGUGAAAACUGGGAGGCUAGAGUGCGGGAUGGGAGAGUGGAAUUCCUGGUGUAGCGGUGAAAUGCGUAGAUAUCAGGAGGAACACCUGUGGUGUAGACGGCUCUCUGGACCGCAACUGACGCUGAGACACGAAAGCGUGGGUAGCAAACAGG
rnacentral:rRNA from 1 species